AGUGCUUCUCCGUGGGUGCAAAGAUCUCCGUGCCUCUACAGAACCACCGCGGGCAGAGUAGCAGUCACGGUGAAUGAACAUCUCCGACAUGGCACACGUCACCUCGUGUUUUCCAUCAGUUAGAGCUACCCUCGCUAGCUACCUUCAAGGCCCAGUCCAGAAGGGACUAUCUGCCCAGCCUGGUUCCUGUCAGCGUACCUUCCUGUGAGUCCUCAAAGCCCAUACUAUAUUCCCAAGGUGCUGGGAUUACAAGCAUGACCACUACAUCCAUCUCUGUGAAGGCAUUUCUUAAGGGGCAGCUGUGGUCUCCCAGGAAAGAAGAGGAGGCCUAGAGGGAGAAGGCUCUCCCAAGACCACCUGGGAGCUGGAGGAGUUACUGGAGUGUGAUUCACAUGGGCUGAGUUCUGUACAUGCCAAGGAGCUGCAUACGUAUUUGUGACAUCACUGCUGUGGAUGGUGUCCAAGCUGGUGUGGACACAGCAGAACUGAGUUCUUGCUUGCCAGAGAUCAUGGUUUGGGGAGGAGAUGCGGUGACACCAAUAAGGCAGUGACUGAGGGGGCCAGGGAGGGCUGGAUGGUCCAGUGGGGAGAGUGGAUAGCAGGGAGCUCUGCCUUGGACUGGAGGCAGCUUGGGGAGCUCAGCAGAGAGGUUUAAAGAAAAGAAGGGGGAGAUAGAAAGACCUGGAGGGGAGAGGAGCUCCACAAGGAGAGAAACAGAACCAAAAAAUCUGGGCACAGGGGUCUUUUCUGAGACUGAUACUCCAACCAAGGGCCAUGCAUGGAGAUAACCUAGAACCCCUGCACAGGUGUAGCCCGUGGCAGCUCAGUCUCCAAAUGGGCUCUCCAGUAAGGAGAACAGGGGCUGUCUCUGACAUGAAUUCAGUGGCUGGCCCUUUGAUCAUCUCUACCUGAGGGGGGUGGGCAGCAGUACUAGCCCACAGAGGAAGACAAUGCAGACAGACCUGAUGAGACCUGAUAGGCUAGGGUCAGAUGGAGGGUGGGGAGGUCCUCCCCUAUCAGUGGACUGGGGAAGAGGCAUGGGAGGAGAAGAGGGAGGGAGGGUGAGAUUGGGAGGAGACAAGGGAGGGGGCUACAGCUGGGAUACAAAGUGAACAAAUCGUAAUAAAUA